rnacentral:misc_RNA from 1 species
GAGUCUGAAAGUCAGCUAUCGCGUAGGCCGCGUUCUCGCCUUGCGGCGACUCAUUGUCGCCAGUCAGUCAGUGUUGGCGCUCCGUAUCGUCGACAUCCAUCCAGUCAUUCGUCGAUCGAGCAAGUCCUGCGAUCCGUUCGUCUCUGCAUUUAACGACGCGCCGUCAUGUACCCCGGGAAUAACAACUACCAGUACAACCCGCAGUACGGCAAUCAGCCGCCUCCCCCGCAAGGCUACCCGAUGUACGGACCUCCGCCGCCUUAUGGUGCCCCGCCAAUUACGCAGCAGCCACCCCCAGGUACGACGGUCUACGUCGUUCCCGCCCAGGAACAGCAACGGUCAACGGGAAUGAGUGCGGAGUCGGCUCUUUGCUGCGGGUGCUGUUUAGGACUCUGUCUCGGGUGCGGACCUUGCGACCUCUGUUGCUGCUAGUUCCAAAUCACCGGGGGUAACAAGUGGUUGCCAACGAUGCGAUCCGGGCGAUGAUUAUACCGAUUUCCAAUGAACGACGAUGGAUUUAUCGACGCCUUGGGAAAACCGGAGCGGAUGUUGACUGAUUGCCUUACGCCGUGUAGGGGAAAAAGUCGUCAAGAACAGUUGGUGGAAUCUUGUCGGUGUGUGCGAAUGUGUGUCAGUGUGGGUGAGUGUGCGCAGAGAUAAUGGAUUCUUAAGAUAUGUGAAACCUGUUGUAUAGAUAAAAGAAAUAAAAUUUUGAACCUCGAGUCUGGCGCGAUGAGGCACAGUUCGGGCUAAUCGUGAAUAACAAGACGCUUAAGUGGUCGGGCACGUCGGUAAAGUAAUUAAAUAUCAUAAUUGUGUAAAUAUUAGGUAACGGUUGAAGGUGCUCAGUAAAAUAAUUAACAGAUAAACGUGCCAGUUAUACUUUAAUUUAUUUAUUAUCCUCUCUCUCUCUCUCUCUCUCUCUCUCUUUCUUUCUUUCUUUCUCUGGAUCCCACCAAUCCAUGCGAUUUCGAAAUAUAACAUAACAUCAUCCUGAUCGAACUGCGCUGAAAUGCGUUUUCACCUAAUAUCGUGAAUCGCCAAAACGUAAAGGCCUUCGAUCGAUUAUAUUCAAGCUCUCCUCCGUCAUUAUCUCAGUUCGUGUGAUUGGGAAUAUUUUUUUCCAUGUUCAAUUGCAAUUCAGGAUACCAUACAACGGUACGAGCCUCUGGUUUAUUGUUGUUGUUGUAGAAACAACGUGCGAACUAAAAAUUAGUACUUGAGUCGUAAAGAGGUUCGUUCUUUCGCUAUUGUUUGUAUACCUACCUAUACGAGACCGUUACAAAAGAUAGCAUUCGCUCACGAGUUAUAUCACCAACGACUUCGCUGCGUUAACGUACCGUAUACAAAAUUCCGAGAGCUUAAUGGCGGCUGAAUUUGCGCGACGAUAACGAAUCGCGAUAAUGAUCGAUAGCAUCGAUUCGAAAAACGGUAUCACGGGCCUUGCGAUCCGAUAUUUUAUACUCCUCUUACAGGUACGUCACUGACUGAGAUACGAAACACAUGUUGUCACACAGUUGCUGCAGGAAGCUCACGGAUUCCGCAGUAGACGAUAAAACGUUGGCUGGUGAACACUGGGUGGUAAUUUAUUUCCGAACCGAGGAGGACCGGAUACCAUCACCUCCUACACUUUGACGAUACGCCGAGUCACGUUAUGAUCAACAAGGAGAGAGAGGCAACGUCAGCGGCUGGCAGAUCUGUGCCAAAUAGUGCAAAUCGUACGGACGAUCCGCCGCCACCUUACAGCCUCUACAAACCGUCAAUGGCGGCCGAACCACCCCCGCUGCCCCUCGAACCUCCAGCUUUGACUUCGGAGCAACCUCCAGCUGUAAUAACCGAGGUUAUACCUGGUCCUGGUUCACAAACGGAAAACUCUUCGAACUACCACUUGACGUCGGGAGAGAGCAUCAAGGCUGCCUGCUGUAUAGUGUUAUGCUGGUUCUGGAUCCCGUUCGCCUUCUGCAUCGACUGUUGUGCCAGAACUUACCCACAGUUAAGGCCCAAACGGUAUCGGUAGAGAAAAGGCCGUCUUUCGCUCCUGAACUCACCUUCAAGAGGACGAAUUGCAACGUUUAAGAUGUCAAGCUCGUUUUUAAGAACCAAGUGAGCCAGGGCAAAGCCUAGGCGUGGAAUGCUGUUUUUAGUUUGGCCAAAAUACGCGUGCGCGUGAUUGGGACCAUGUGAAAGCGAUCGCUGCAAGUUUACAGUGAGAACUAUGAUAUUGCAUAAAUGCAGAUGAAUUCACUCUAUGCUAAAUUGCCCGUACAGCAAUUACCAAAUAAUCAAUCGGAAACGUAUGAAUAACGCUGCGGGCACCAGUCGACCGGUGUAAUUUUAAAAUUUGGGAGUAGCACAAAUUCACUCUUAACGUCGUAACUAUUUUCCGAACAAGUCAAUUUCUUACGCACCAUUAGACUUGAGUCAGUUCAUUGAUCACCAGCAAUUCGAACGUGCCAUACUCAACAAGUGACAAUUUUUCAGUUGAAUAAUUUUACUGUCGCUACGCACGAUCGAAGUUGAUGGGAUUUUUUGAACAUUCUGAAAUUAUUGUAAAACUACGACGUUUGAUGUGAAAUCGAAUACCGGCUUUGAAAUUUUAUCGGCAUCCGGAAUAUGUCGUCGAAAAAAUGUUAUUCUUCAUUUUUGUGUAAGGAUAACGAAUUACCGGUGAUGAGUAAAUUCAAAUAGUUUUUCGGAAAUCAAUUUUUUUCCUUUUUGCCAAGGAAAUACGGAACUUCGCAAUAAUUCGUUUGGUACAAGACAGCUGAAUCUGUUUUCUCUCCACUUACCAGCAUUAUCUCGUAUUUAUACCGAUCCCCUUGAGCACGUUUCAAUAGUAUUAUCUUAAUCUUGGUUUCCAAUUUUUAUGGUCUAUACCUCAGCUGUUAACUGCGGCUGAUUACACCUGACAUAUUUUACUGUGCUAUACACACACAUAAUAAGUAUAAUCAUAUACCUAGUCACAUGUUCUAAUUAACAAGACAUUUAUAAUACAUACUGUUUUCAAUCAAUACGACUGUCGCUGCUUCGAUUUACAGUGUGUGAGUGUCCCACUGAAAAAAACUGGGACAUAGUUCGGCUAGUAUUGUAUGAGGAAAAAACUGAAUCACCAUAAGUGAACCUUUACACGAUACUCGUGACGUACCAAGACGCAGUUACGUAUCCUUGUCACGUGUCGUGAAGCGUGGCUUCCCACAAAGGCGAAUCAUAUCCGGACCUCACUUCCGCACAACGAUCGACUUAACGAGAACCUACGGUUUCUUUUUCUUUAUACAUUUUCACGUUGUGCCAUGUGCGUAUCAAUAUGAAUACGGUUUCAAUACGUAAGGAUCUGCGGCUGCUUGUGCUAUAAAUAAUUCCAGCCAAACGUAAGCAGCUGCUGCUUGUAUCAUAUUAUAUACAAAUGACAUCACACGGUAGUUCGGAAACGUUACGAUUUCGUUCGUUACUUUGUAAUUUUUAAUCAAUAAUCAAAACUUCAAUCUUUUACAUACGUUAAAAAUCGGCAAAUAAACAAAAACGCCAAGUCUACCGCUUUAACUGU